GGGAGGGAAGUAGGUGCCCAAUGGGGAAGUUUCUGCCACAAACACCCGGUUGAGAAACACGGUUGGGAAAAUCCAGCAGGCUGCUGAUCUCUGGUGUGGCUCGUGCAUACUACUGCCUCCUCCCUUUGUCCCUCCGGCCUGGGGGUGGUGGUAGCUUCUUGCUGGUGCUACUUUCUGGGUUGCCUUUCCAUUCCCUUUAUAGCUUCUCCACUCUUUCAUCACUUGUACAAUGGAGUCCCUACAUUCAGUUCCUUCUAUUUGAAAUACCUAGAAUGGCUUCUCUUUCCCUAUUGGGCCUUGAAGUCCGGAGAAGUGAAGUCGGUCCCCGUUCCUUUGCAGAGCUGCCUUCCUUACCCUGGCUCUGUGCUAAUCUUUUUGCCAGCUGCCUCCUCCUUCGUGGAGUCCUGUCUAAGAUUGCAGUGGAUUUAAGGAACCUCAUCAACUGAUUGUCACUAAAGUACUACUGACUGAUAACUUGUGUCAUGUGGGAGAAGCCAGAACAUCACGGGGCCUGUCCAGGGGAGUCUGAGGCCACAGAGGAGAUGCAGUCACAGCUGGAAAUACUGCCUAAGUGUGCCUGUCUGUUCAGUGGAGGAGUUGACCAGCCUGGUCCAACAUGGCCAUGGACGAAGACCCAGGUAUGUAAACUGAUUGCUUAUCCAAGGUCCUCCCAGGAAUCUGCUGCCCUCACCAUCCCUGACCAGUGAUGCCUUCUCCAUUCUGCUGUCCCAGACUGGUGCUGUAGUACUAUGCCUACUUCUUUUUAUUUUUCUUUUUAAUUAAUUAUUUUAUUUAUUUAUUUAUUUAUUUAUUUAUUUAUUUAUGAGAUGGAGUUUCGCUCUUGUUACCCAGGCUGGAGUGCAAUGGCGCGAUCUCGGCUCACCGCAACCUUCGCCUCCUGGGUUCAGGCAAUUCUCCUGCCUCAGACUCCCGAGUAGCUGGGACUACAGGCACGCGCCACCAUGGCCAGCUAAUUUUUUGUAUUUUUAGUAGAGACGGGGUUUCACCAUGCUGACCAGGAUGGUCUCAAUCUCUUGACCUCGUGAUCCACCCGCCUCGGCUUCCCAAAGUGCUGGGAUUACAGGCGUGAGCCACCGCGUCCGGCCCCAAUUAUUUAUUUAUUUUUAAGAUGGGGUUUCACCAUGUUGAUCAGGCUGGUCUUGAACUCCCGACCUCAGGUGAUCCACCUGCCUUGGCCUCCAAAGUGCUUGGAUCACAGGCAUGAGCCACCAUGCCCAGCCUCUUUUUAUUUUUUUUUGAGAUGGAGUCUCACUCUUGCUUAGGCUGGAGUGCACUGGUGCGAUCCCAGCUCACUCCAACCUUCACCUCUUGGGUUCCUGCGAUUCUCCCACCUCAGUCUCCUGAGUAGCCAGGAUUACAGGCAUGCGCCACCACAACUGGCUGACUUUUGUAUAUUUAGUAGAGAUGGGGUUUCGCUGUGUUGGCCAGACUGGUGACCAAGUCCCCAGUCGCUGUGUUGUCUCCUGACCUCAAGUGAUCUGCUCACCUGGGCCUCCCAAAGUGCUGGGAUUACCGACAUGAACGACCAUACCCUGCCAUGUGCCCACUUCUCCCCAUAGCUGUGAGCCCAUCAGCUAUGGGCCCAGACCUGCCAUCCUGUGAGGCCAGGAGCAACUCCAGCUGUCCAGGGUCCACCUUUUGCCUGGGGAUAAAGAGCCCUUUCCCCUCAGAGGACUAGGAGGCACCUCCCAGCCUUGGGCAGGGGUCCCCUUGAGCCCUGCCCUAUCUGUCCAGGACUCCUCUUUUCUUCCUCUCCAGGAAAGAAGAAUGGACCAGUUUCUAGAAAAGUUUCUAGAAAGACUCCAAAAGAGGUACAGACCGUAAGAGAUUGCUGGUCUCCCUCCACGGGAGCUGAGGCCACACCCUCCCAAAGCUUCUGCAGACUCUCAGCUCUCAACCCAAGUAGGUUAAAAUGCACCUACUUCCUGCAUUAUAACACUUUGGAAUCACUUUAUAUGAGUUAAGAUGUGCUACAGUUGACAGGUUGUCCUAAUAUUACAUUUUGCAGAUGUUUAAUUAAACAUGCAGGAAUUUCAAGCCUCCCGUGACUGAACUCAGCUCAGGCCUUGUUCUGUGUGAUCUCAAUCUAUUCUUCAAAAUCGUAUUAUUAUUAACCCCAUUUUACCAGGGAUAAAACAGGACGCAAGAUCUCCAACACCUAGUUGAAGGCCACACAGCCAGGGGCCUGGUGGGAUAGCACUGGCUGCUCUGCCUCUGCCCUGGUCAGCCUCUCUAGUGCCUCCCUGCCAACCCUCCAGUUCCUGGCUCUUCCCUGGGCUGCCUAGGCCAGGGGCUUGAGGCCUGUGAGGCUCAAGUCUCUCUAGGAGAGUGAAUAGUCUGACCUGAUGGACCAGAGCCGUCCUCCUGGCCCAGUUAGGAGCAUGGUGCCAGCACCCCAGCACCCCUCCCAGGGGUGAGCUGCAGGGCACAUAGUUUACCUGCCAGGAGCCCGGAGUAGGAAAGCAAACACCAUAAAUCAUCAGGAUGCCUGUGUAAAUAUUUUAUAGCUGGGACAGUAAAUAAUGCAGCUCCCUGGACACGCCCUGCCCAGUUCAUCUGUCUCACAUCCAGCACCCAGGACAGUCUGUCUGGUCCUCUCUCUUACCUUGUGUUUUUAAAACAAAUGCUGUGGCCCAGUGCUGAGCGCUUUCACACGCGCAUCUUCACUGACUAGCCUUUGCUCAGGCCUGGAACAACUUUCUCCCUCCUCCUUCAGGAGUCACCUCCUCCUGGAAGCUUUCUUUGAUUUACUGAGUGGAGUCAAGGGUUCCUCUGGCUCUCAGUCCCUAGGCUUCCCCAUCUGGGCUCUGCUCACUCUGCACGGUCAUUUCUUGGCUCCUGUUAUGAUUCCUGGUGACUAGUGUGCCCUCACUCUGACUGUCAGCUCCAAGAGAGCAAUCAUAUCCCUAGAGCUGAGGGCAGAGGUUGGUGUAUGCAGGUGCUCAACAAAUAAUGUUGAAGGAUGGAAUAAAUUACCUUGCUUAAUCC
rnacentral:lncRNA from 13 species